AAAGGGUAAUAUUUCGCUUCAUCAAUCAACAUUCAACCGAUCAACAUACGAUUCUGGCCAGUUUGCGACGUCAUUCUACCGUCGGACGAUACUGCAUCAGGUCGACGCGCGCCUGCGUUUCCUUGCAAUGGAACCUUAGCAGUGAAAAGGUAAACAAUGAACAUCGUGAAUUUUAUAUGCGUAUAACGUGAGGUUUUUCCUUUUUGAUUGCAUCAAAGCACACCGUCCAGCUAACAUGUACAAGGACAGUUUUGCGAAGAAGCCAAAUCGUGUGUUUCGUUGUCAGAUCGACAUGCGCAUCGACCUGUUAGUUAGCAGAUUAGCAGAGGAAACAUCGGAAACAAUCGGCUUUAUGGCCGGUACAAAAUCUCCUAUAUUACUAGCGUUUUGCGUUGGUACAUCCAGCGGUUCAACACAUACGCACGAUAGAUCUCGUAGCGUUAGAUAUUUAACAACGGAACCUUCCGGAAAUAU